CUGAAAGUGGAUAAAAUAUUGGUGCUUUCUAUUAUAAUGGCUGGCAUCAGCAUUCUAUGUAGCAGAUUUUGAUGAUUGUUUGCUUGUAUACCUUAAACUAUAUUCUUGUUGACUGCCUACCCUGUUUUUCUUCUAGUGGCACCUCAAUCAGUCAUCACCAGCAAUAAGAAAGGAUUGUGGAAGCUACAAGUAAGAAAGCAACUGAAAGGAUGCGAUGUCAUAUGUGUGAUGACAGCAAUAUGUGUGUUGCCACAGAAGGACACUGCAGAGGAAGUCCACCUUCCUACAAGGGAGUAGAUCAGCACUUUCAAAGGACACUACAGCUGAGCUGAUACCUGAGGCAUGGGGAGCAGCUCAAUCAAAGCUCAAAGGCAGAAAGCAUCUAGUAUCCCAGGGAAGUUAAAAAUAGGUCUCUGUAGCUCAAAAAGAAGGUACAUGGCCAGUGCAGUGGCUCACGCCUGUAAUCUCAGCACUUUGGGAGGCCGAGGCAGGCAGAUCACUUGAAGUCAGGAGUUGAAGACCAGCCUGACCAACAUGGAGAAAUGAUGUCUCCAUUAAAAAUACAAAAAUUAGCUGGGUGUGGUGGUGCCUGUAAUACCAGCUACUAGGGAGGAUGAGGCAUGAGAAUCACUUGAACCCUGGAGUCGUAGGUUGCAGUGAACGGAGAUCGCGCCACUGCACUCCAGCAUGGGCAACAGAUCAAGACUCUGUUUCAAAAAUAAAUAAAUAAAAAUAAAACGAGGCUAUCAGCAUGGAACCUAAUUUAAUCUGACUGGUUUCUAUAAAAAGAGGAAGUCUGGGCACUUAAAGAGACACAAGAGAUGGGCAUGCGCAGAGGAAAGACCAUAAGAAUAGAGAGAAGGUGGUCGUCUGCAAGCCUAGGAGAGAGGCCUCGGGAGAGACAGCCCUGCCAGCACCUUGAUCUUGGACGUUUCACCUCCAGAACUGUGGGAAAUAAAUUUCUGUUAUUUAAACC
rnacentral:lncRNA from 10 species